GAUUCUGGCUCAGGAUGAACGCUAGCGGGAGGCUUAACACAUGCAAGUCGAGGGGCAGCACGGGGUAGCAAUACCCUGGUGGCGACCGGCAGACGGGUGAGUAACGCGUAUGUAACCUACCCUGUACAGGGGGAUAACCCGGAGAAAUUCGGACUAAUAUCCCAUGGAAAUAUUGAGAGGCAUCUUUUGAUAUUUAAAGUCCGGCGGUACGGGAUGGGCAUGCGUAACAUUAGCUAGUUGGUAAGGUAACGGCUUACCAAGGCUUUGAUGUUUAGGGGUCCUGAGAGGGUGGUCCCCCACACUGGUACUGAGACACGGACCAGACUCCUACGGGAGGCAGCAGUGAGGAAUAUUGGUCAAUGGGCGGGAGCCUGAACCAGCCAAGUCGCGUGAAGGGAAAAGAAGGAUCUAUGGUUCGUAAACUUCUUUUGCAGGGGAAUAAAGUGCAGGACGUGUCCUGUUUUGUAUGUACCCUGAGAAUAAGGAUCGGCUAACUCCGUGCCAGCAGCAGC
rnacentral:rRNA from 1 species